rnacentral:rRNA from 1 species
UACGAAGGUGGCUAGCGUUGCUCGGAAUCACUGGGCGUAAAGGGUGCGUAGGCGGGUCUUUAAGUCUGGGGUGAAAUCCUGGAGCUCAACUCCAGAACUGCCUUUGAUACUGAAGAUCUUGAGUCCGGGAGAGGUGAGUGGAACUGCGAGUGUAGAGGUGAAAUUCGUAGAUAUUCGCAAGAACACCAGUGGCGAAGGCGGCUCACUGGCCCGGUACUGACGCUGAGGCACGAAAGCGUGGGGAGCAAACAGG